rnacentral:rRNA from 1 species
GAUGAACGCUGGCGGCGUGCCUAAUACAUGCAAGUCGAGCGAACAGACGAGGAGCUUGCUCCUCUGACGUUAGCGGCGGACGGGUGAGUAACACGUGGAUAACCUACCUAUAAGACUGGGAUAACUUCGGGAAACCGGAGCUAAUACCGGAUAAUAUAUUGAACCGCAUGGUUCAAUAGUGAAAGACGGUUUUGCUGUCACUUAUAGAUGGAUCCGCGCCGCAUUAGCUAGUUGGUAAGGUAACGGCUUACCAAGGCAACGAUGCGUAGCCGACCUGAGAGGGUGAUCGGCCACACUGGAACUGAGACACGGUCCAGACUCCUACGGGAGGCAGCAGUACGGAAUCUUCCGCAAUGGGCGAAAGCCUGACGGAGCAACGCCGCGUGAGUGAUGAAGGUCUUCGGAUCGUAAAACUCUGUUAUUAGGGAAGAACAAAUGUGUAAGUAACUAUGCACGUCUUGACGGUACCUAAUCAGAAAGCCACGGCUAACUACGUG